AAAAAAUAAACCCACCCGAAAGGAACACAAUCAACGGCGCUCUAUGCGGUUUACCAAUAUACGGGAGCCCCCGCGCGUAUUAUAGGUACGUUUAUCGUUUUUAUCGGCCGUACAGGUACACCGUACAGCGAAACGCGUGUGUAACAUAAAUACGGCGCGCGUAAGUACAUAAUGCGUGUGUAUACUCAAGGUGUGUACGAGCGCGGCCAUUAAAAAUCUGUUAAAUGGAGAGCAGCAAAGACGCUACACAAGACGGUAAAUACCCCGUGCGUAUGUGUGUAC